UACGUAGGGUCCGAGCGUUGUCCGGAAUUACUGGGCGUAAAGGGCUCGUAGGCGGCCAACUAAGUCGAACGUGAAAUCCCCGGGCUCAACCCAGGAACUGCACCUGAAACUACCAGUCUUGAGUGGUGGAGAGGGAAGUGGAAUUCCUGGUGUAGAGGUGAAAUUCGUAGAUAUCAGGAGGAACACCAGUGGCGAAGGCGGCUUCCUGGACACUAACUGACGCUGAGACGCGAAAGCGUGGGGAGCAAACAGG
rnacentral:rRNA from 1 species